UACAGAGGUCCCAAGCGUUGUUCGGAUUCAUUGGGCGUAAAGGGUGCGUAGGUGGCGUCGUAAGUCAGGUGUGAAAUCUCGGAGCUUAACUCCGAAACUGCAUUUGAUACUGCGGUGCUUGAGGACUGGAGAGGAGACUGGAAUUUACGGUGUAGCGGUGAAAUGCGUAGAUAUCGUAAGGAAGACCAGUGGCGAAGGCGGGUCUCUGGACAGUUCCUGACGCUGAGGCACGAAGGCCAGGGGAGCAAACGGG
rnacentral:rRNA from 1 species